AUAGGACUGCUGGGCACACACCUGUAGUCCCAGCUACUUGGGAGGCUGAGGCAGGAGGAUUGCUUGGAUCCAGGACUUCUGGAUUGUAGUGUACAAUGCUGAUCAGAUGUCUGUGCUAAACUUGGCUAAACUGUGCUAAACUGUGCUAAACUUCUUGGAAGCAGGAAACCACCAGCUUGUCUAAGGAGGGGUGAACUGGCUCAGGUUAGAAUAGGAGCAGCUCAAAACUCCUGUGCUAAUCAGUAGUAGGACCUUGCCUGUGAAUAGCCACUGCACUACAGCCUGGGAAACAAGUGAUCUGCCUGUCUCAGCCUCCCAAAGUGCUGAGAUUACAGGCAUGAGCUAGCACACCCGGCCUCAAAGUGCACUUGAUGGGACUGUCAUGGUAGUGUGCAAGGGAGGGGACCAUAGUGGUGCUAACCUGGCCACCUAAUGUAUGCAGGCUCAGGCCCACACUACCCUGACCACCUCUUUGGGCCGGAGGGAGUCGAUAGGACGGCAAAAUGCCUAGGAAGCCAGCACACGGAUAGCACCUCCACAGGAACUUUAUUCCUCUGGCCAUGGUCUAUAGGAAACAGGUUAUGGGUUCCUCUCGUGGGGCACAGACUCUUCAUUGCCAGAGUCAUUCUCUGCAUCAACUUGGGGUCUGGGAACAGGCUGGAACUUGAGUAAGACAGGUGGGGAAAAGAUGGAGGCCCUCACAGCAGAGUCUGGUGUCUCAUCAGCGUUAGGGGAGUCACUACAGGCCGAGAUCCUGCAGAAGAGACAUGCGUGACUUGCCUGUAAGGUGGGACACCAGCACAUAGGUACACAUGAAAAAACCCCAGGCUAUAGGCCCCUCCUAAUAUAUUUCUACUUCUAGAAACCUCUCCCAUGCAUGUGUUUUCAAGGCUGUUCACCGCACCAAUGUCUGUAAUUGUAAAAAACC